AACGAACGCUGGCGGCAUGCCUAACACAUGCAAGUCGAACGAGACCUUCGGGUCUAGUGGCGCACGGGUGCGUAACGCGUGGGAACCUGCCCUUAGGUUCGGAAUAACUCCCCGAAAGGGGUGCUAAUACCGGAUAAUGUCUUCGGACCAAAGAUUUAUCGCCUUUGGAUGGGCCCGCGUUGGAUUAGCUAGUUGGUAGGGUAAAAGCCUACCAAGGCGACGAUCCAUAGCAGGUCUGAGAGGAUGAUCAGCCACACUGGGACUGAGACACGGCCCAGACUCCUACGGGAGGCAGCAGUGGGGAAUAUUGGACAAUGGGCGAAAGCCUGAUCCAGCAAUGCCGCGUGAGUGAUGAAGGCCUUAGGGUUGUAAAGCUCUUUUACCCGGGAUGAUAAUGACAGUACCGGGAGAAUAAGCGCCGGCUAACUCCGUG
rnacentral:rRNA from 1 species